rnacentral:lncRNA from 1 species
GGACAGUGACAGGUCCUGGAGGUGGAGGGCUGGCAGGGGAUCAGGGUGUUCUCAUGGGGUUCAGGGACUAUUCAAUCCUCAGUGGGUGUCUCUAUGUUCUUGGGGGUGGGUGGAGGUGAAGGAUGGUUUCUGUACCAGCCAGGGAGAGAGAGUGAUUUAAAAAUCUCAUCCAGUUUGUUUCCGGAAUGUGCAAAUUGAAUUUGUCACCAGAUCCAUGGAGUAAAUCCUGAGUGGAAAACUGGAGCCCAGGAACGAGGUCAGAAGCUUGAUUAGGAUUGAAGUGGAGCCAGAGGUACCUUGCUUUAACCUUGCUGGUCAAGAUGACAGAUCAUUUACAUUAACAGAUUCUGCGGGCACUCUCCCGGUCGGAGCUGGAAGUGCUUUAGCCCCAGGUGACCUGGGCAACCAAGAGUGACGAUCCAGGAGAAAGAAGCUCCAACGGCCAAGACCCCAUCUGGAAGGAGCGGGGUUUCAAGCAAACACCUUAAAGCCACCUGGGUCCCUGUUGUGGCACUGAGAGAGACCGAGCCACCCUGAAUCUUGAAAACAUGUCUCCACAUUUUCCCAGUGGCUUUAAUGUUUUGUUUGUUCAUUUCUUCAUUUAGGCAUCAAAUGUUGGUGUCUCCUUAUUGUGUGCUGAGCAUUGUGGCAGGUGCCGAGGAUGCUACGGAAGGACAGCUUGGCUCUGCUCUCAAGACACACUGAGUGGAAGAGAGGACAUGGACACAGACUCCCUUAACCAUGACAUGAUGUGAAAGCCACAAUAGGAUGGGUGUCCGAGCAAAGCCCUGCAGGAGUGGAGGAGACCCUUAGCGAGAAACGGGGUUGGGGGGUAGGUUUCCAAGGAGCUGGGGGUAGAAAGAUGAACAGUAUUUGUCUUGGUGGGAGGAGUGGCAUUUCUGAUGGAGGGCAGAACGUAAGCAGAGUUUAGAAGAGUGAUUGGUGGGAGCUCCCAUUGUGGCUCAUUGGGUUAAGAAUCUGACAUAGUGUCUGCGAGGAUGUAGGUUUGAUCCCUGGCCUCACUCUGUGGAUUAAGUUUCUGGAGUUACUGCAAGCUGCAGUGUAGUUCACAGAUGUGGCUCGGAUCCGGUGUUGCCAUGGCUGUGGUGUGGGCUGGCAGCUGCAGCUCUGAAUCGACCCCUGGCCCAGGAACUUCCUUAUGCUGCAGGUAUGGCCGUAAAAAAAAAA